GAUGAACGCUGGCGGCGUGCCUAAUACAUGCAAGUCGAGCGAACGGACGAGAAGCUUGCUUCUCUGAUGUUAGCGGCGGACGGGCGAGUAACACGUGGAUAACCUACCUAUAAGACUGGGAUAACUUCGGGAAACCGGAGCUAAUACCGGAUAAUAUUUUGAACCGCAUGGUUCAAAAGUGAAAGACGGUCUUGCUGUCACUUAUAGAUGGAUCCGCGCUGCAUUAGCUAGUUGGUAAGGUAACGGCUUACCAAGGCAACGAUGCAUAGCCGACCUGAGAGGGUGAUCGGCCACACUGGAACUGAGACACGGUCCAGACUCCUACGGGAGGCAGCAGUAGGGAAUCUUCCGCAAUGGGCGAAAGCCUGACGGAGCAACGCCACGUGAGUGAUGAAGGUCUUCGGAUCGUAAAACUCUGUUAUUAGGGAAGAACAUAUGUGUAAGUAACUGUGCACAUCUUGACGGUACCUAAUCAGAAAGCCACGGCUAACUACGUG
rnacentral:rRNA from 1 species